GACGAACGCUGGCGGCGUGCUUAACACAUGCAAGUCGAACGGAAAGGCCCUGCUUUUGUGGGGUGCUCGAGUGGCGAACGGGUGAGUAACACGUGAGUAACCUGCCCUUGACUUUGGGAUAACUUCAGGAAACUGGGGCUAAUACCGGAUAGGAGCUCCUGCUGCAUGGUGGGGGUUGGAAAGUUUCGGCGGUUGGGGAUGGACUCGCGGCUUAUCAGCUUGUUGUGGGGUAGUGGCUUACCAAGGCUUUGACGGGUAGCCGGCCUGAGAGGGUGACCGGCCACAUUGGGACUGAGAUACGGCCCAGACUCCUACGGGAGGCAGCAGUGGGGAAUAUUGCACAAUGGGCGGAAGCCUGAUGCAGCAACGCCGCGUGCGGGAUGACGGCCUUCGGGUUGUAAACCGCUUUCGCCUGUGACGAAGCGUGAGUGACGGUAAUGGUUAAAGAAGCACCGGCUAACUACGUG
rnacentral:rRNA from 1 species